GAUCCGGUAGCUCAGUUGGUAGAGCAGUGGCCUUUUAAGCCAUUGGUCGUGAGUUCGAGCCUCACCCGGAUCACCA
rnacentral:tRNA from 1 species